GCCCUGCCCGGCUGACCCGGGGCGUAGAAGGGUAGCCCAAGCCCCCCCCCCACCACCACGAGUGCGCGGCACCGCCGAGCCCCCACCCUGCCGCGGUCCAAAAAACACCGCAGCCACACGAACGACACCCCAAGCCCGAAAAGCCGGCCAACCCUGCACCCCGGGGCGCCGAAGACAAAGCCACUCGAAAAACAUCGGUUGCGAAGCAAGGACGAUACUUCGUACGCGGAAAGGCACCCAGCAAAUCGUCUUGUGGCCCGGCGCUUGCGCUAGCGAACCAUAGUGUGGUGUCGUCUUCGGAGAGAGCGAAACACACGGACCGGGCGGCAUGGAAGCGCUGUGCCAUCUGCAAGCUUUCGAGAAGGCAGUAAGUUCUCGAAGCAAUAGCCGCUCUGCUAAUCAAGGGAGGCGUUUGCUUUAUAUUCAGCUAGCUCUGCAGUUGAGUUUCUCUCCUGUGUCUCACGCCGCUCUCUGUCGAUUCUUCUGCCUGUGCCACAGAGCAAACUCUUCCGUAAGACUGAAGCGAAGGAAGACAAUUGAAUCCUCAGUCUACUGUCACGCAUUCUCGAUAAAACGAAUUCGUGUUUGCUAUUUCCGCAAGACGCAGCAGCGACUGAUCGGAACUGUGGCAUGGAUAUUAC
rnacentral:misc_RNA from 1 species